rnacentral:rRNA from 1 species
UACGGAGGGGGCUAGCGUUGUUCGGAAUUACUGGGCGUAAAGCGCGCGUAGGCGGCUAUUUAAGUCAGGGGUGAAAGCCCGGAGCUCAACUCCGGAACUGCCUUUGAGACUGGAUAGCUAGAAUCUUGGAGAGGCGAGUGGAAUUCCGAGUGUAGAGGUGAAAUUUGUAGAUAUCAGGAGGAACACCAAUGGCGAAGGCAGCUCGCUGGAACGGUACUGACGCUGAGGAGCGAAAGCGUGGGGAGCAAACAGGAUUAGAAACCCU